GACGAAAGCAACCGACGAAGAGGGAGGGGCGGGCGGAGAAGAGAGAAAGUCGCCGGCUCGCCGCCGCCGUCGUCGUCGGCGAGGCCACGGUCGCCGCCCUCCGCUCCCGAUCGAGGGCCUGCUUCGUUCGUACCGCAGAGGUUUGGUUCGUUGGCCUCUUCAGUCUACAAGAACUCAGACAGCUCGCCGCCCACCCACCUACCAUGUGGUGCGAGUUCCUUGGCGGCGUAAUUGAAACCUCCAGGCGGCAGGUGGUGUGAGAGGUCCUUCCUCAAUGCAGCCUCCGCAUCUGCUGGUGAGUCCUGCUUGGUGGACUUCGUCGUGCUGAGAUUGGGCGCUUGUUUCUUGGUUUCAAGAACUAGGUUGAAGUUGAACCCUGCGUGGCCGUGGCUAGUCCGGGCUGGAUCAUGGAGCAACCAGGGCAGAUCGCUUUUGCUCAAGCCUGAUCAGUAGUGAUUGUUCUCCAGUGAGCAUGUCCUCGCCUAGCAAGACUUUGAUGAUGAGAGGGAAGAAAGCAAAGGUAGUGGAGGGGAAUGCUCAGCUGCUCUGCAGUGAUGCGCUCACCGAGGUCUUCCACAGGCUGCCUGCCCGCACCCUCGCUUCUUGCAGGAUGGUAUGCAAAUCCUGGAUGUCAUUGCUUUCCGAUGUGCAUUUUGUUCACGAGCACCUGAACCGAAGCCAGCAGAAGUUGCUGCUCUUUGCAAAUGACAGAGCAAAUGAUAGGUCUCUUGCCAUGGUGCUCGCAGACGCCAAUGGAUACAUGUACCAGCUGUCUAGGCCCUUGGUUGCUCAGACCCUGUUUGUGCACAACUCUUGCAACGGCCUGCUCUGCCUAGGUGACAGUAAAGGAGCAGUGGAGUUGCUCAACCCGACAACCGGUGAAUCUCUUGUGUUGCCGAAGCCAAUGUACACUGCAGGAAGCAGCCAAUUCUCAUCAUGCAACUGGCACUGCUUGGGGUUUUGCCCGUCAACUAAGCAACACAAGAUUGCACAUUUUUACCCGGGAGCUCAUGCUGGUUCUCUCGAGGUGCUCUGCGAGAUAUACACAAUUGGAGAUAGAGACUGGAGACAAAUUGGGAGUCUCCGUGGGGCACCAAUUGAUAGAGGUAUACAUGUGAAUGGUUCAGUGUAUUAUUUGACAAGGUUCCGUUAUAUCUCUUCAUCACGUAUCAAUUGUUUGGAUCUUCAACGUGAAAAGUUUGAUGUCUUAAUGCUUCCUCCACGCAAGACCUAUGGAGGGCAUUGUUCUUUGUCUGAGCUCGAGGGAAAACUAUGUUUGUUAGUUGUGGAUGGUGCGCUUGAAGGUAUACCUCGUACAAUGGACAUAUUAAUGCUCGAUAACGAUGAUAAGCAGAGUUGGACUCAUAGAUACCACAUAUCUUUGCCUCCGUUGAUGCAAUCAUGUUAUUUCACUCCAAGACACACACUUUUUCAUGAUUCCAAAAUUUGGGUGCAGUUGUUUGCUCGGAACCUAUACUGCUAUGAUCCAAAUUCAAACUCUGAGGAAUUGGAGAUUGCCUGUCCAGAAUCUGAGUUUCCUUUCAGCAUUCAUACGUUUGUUGAAAGUAUAAUUCCUCUGCGUCAAGAUAAUUUCAUCAAGAAGAUACAGUGAUGUUGGUCUUCUUUAUUCUUGAAGAUAGAUUUCAGCUUACAGAUUUGCAUUAUCUUUGUUGUUUUUUCUCUUCAAAAAUGGACCUGUUAACUGCCUUAAUUUGGCCUACUUUAUCACUCUGUGAUUAGUUAUAAGAACAAUCUUGAAAAUUUCCUAACAACUCACUUUGUCUUGAUUCUGAGAGUUGCAUUAAUUGUAAUUUCAUAAUACACGGAAGACUUUAUAGUCCAAGUUAGGAAGAAUAUUUUGCUCUUUUACAUUUUGCUCUCUGUAAUUGCUCAGGGAACAGCUUGGUUGAGAUAUUUUGCUCCAGCUUGUGAACCUGGAUGGCUAGUCUGGCUUUGUGGCAUGUAAAAUCAGACUAAUGACUUUCCAUUACGGAGCUGCUCGUGACUAGUCUGGCUUUGUGGCAUGUAAAAGCUUGGUUGCCGCCUUUUUUGCAUGUAAAAGCUGGUUUGCAUAGUCUGGCUUUCUGAAAUUGACGCA
rnacentral:rRNA from 1 species